rnacentral:rRNA from 1 species
UACCUGCAGCUCGAGUGGUAACCGCUAUUAUUGGGCCUAAAGCGUCCGUAGCCGGUUUGGUAAAUAUCUGGGUAAAUCGUGAGGCUUAACUUCACGAAUUUCGGAUAGACUGCCAGACUUGGGAUCGGGGGAGGUCAGAGGUACUCCGGGGGUAGCGGUGAAAUGUUGUAAUCCUUGGAGGACCACCGGUAGCGAAGGCGUCUGACUAGAACGAGUCCGACGGUGAGGGACGAAGCCCUGGGGCGCAAACCGGAUUAGAUACCCGGGUAGUCCAGGGUGUAAACAAUGUGGGCUUUGUAUUGGAGAUCCCACGUGGGUAUCCAGUGCAGAAGAGAAGUUGUUAAGCCCACCGCCUGGGAAGUACGGUCGCAAGGCUGAAACUUAAAGGAAUUGGCGGGGGAGCACAGCAACGGGAGGAGCGUGCGGUUU